GAUGAACGCUGGCGGCGUGCUUAACACAUGCAAGUCGAACGGAAAGGCCCAAGCUUGCUUGGGUACUCGAGUGGCGAACGGGUGAGUAACACGUGGGUGAUCUGCCCUGCACUUCGGGAUAAGCCUGGGAAACUGAGUCUAAUACUGGAUAGGACCACUUCUUGGAUGGUGUGGUGGAAAGUUUUUUCGGUGUGGGAUGAGCUCGCGGCCUAUCAGCUUGUUGGUGGGGUAAUGGCCUACCAAGGCGUCGACGGGUAGCCGGCCUGAGAGGGUGUACGGCCACAUUGGGACUGAGAUACGGCCCAGACUCCUACGGGAGGCAGCAGUGGGGAAUAUUGCACAAUGGGCGCAAGCCUGAUGCAGCGACGCCGCGUGGGGGAUGACGGCCUUCGGGUUGUAAACUCCUUUCGCUAGGGACGAAGCGUUUUUGUGACGGUACCUGGAGAAGAAGCACCGGCUAACUACGUG
rnacentral:rRNA from 1 species